AAGUGAGCCUUGACGCAUCCAGUGAUGAGGUUGCAUAGGGCAGAUUCUGAGCUGGGAGCUGCGGCUCCUAAGCGCUGAUCUUCUGAUUAUGCGGUCUGAGGAUGUGGCUCCGUUU
ensembl:snoRNA